UUUCCCUCAAUCCCAUCAUCACCGUUGUUCUCUGCCCUGAAAAUUUUGGAUCUCCAUGUUAAGAAAGAGACAGCUGCAACACCAAAGCAUGCAGAUAACUGAGAUUACAUUCUCCAUAAUACAAGGGAUACUAACGACUAGAGAUGAGGAAUAUGGAAAGUUUUACAAACCAUAUGCUACUUCAAUUGUACAAUUUCUAAAGAUAGCAACAUGUGCUACGAGUGGUCUAGACUACUUUCAUAAUAAGAGAUUCGUGUUGGGCGUAUGCCACUAUCGCUUCUAUUGAAGCGAUGAACCAAAUUUUGAAUCCUUCGCAAGAGUUUACUCCACUGAGUAUCCAACAACUCGUGGACUGUUAUGACGAAUACAAAGAUGACUUUACAAGUUGGGGUGGAGCAAGACGUGCCUUUGGGAGCAUUCAUAGGAGCAGGGGAGGAAUAUAUAGUGAGAGUGAUUAUCCGAGUAGGGGUGACCAUAUCAGGAGGGGCCUUGUGCAAUUUGAGAUGUUAGUAAAAAUUGAUUUUCAUUUUAGUUGAAUAAACUCUUAUUUAAUUUUGUUAGUUGGCAAUUAAACCCAACAGUAGUGAUUGACUCUUUCAACAAAGUUGGCCACAACACGAGAGCCAUUGUAGAAGUGGUAAGGCGACAGCCCGUGACCGCUGUUGUGGGGUCUCUACCAUUGAGAGAGAUUUUAUACACCGGGUCGAAUAAUCCGUUCUUCCGAAGCCGAUGGAGACACUCGUUUAUACUGUUUUGAUCGUCGGAUUCGGAAAAAAAUACGGAUUGGACUAUUGGAGAUGUCUUAAUUUCUGGGGUGCAACUUUUGGUGGUGAUGGGACCUUUUACUUGGAGAGGAAUAUGAAUCAUUCCCAUCGCAAUGUUUUGAUCGUCGGAUUCGGAAAAAAAAACGACGGAUUGGACUAUUGGAGAUGUCUUAAUUUCUGGGGUGCAACUUUUGGUGGCGAUGGGACCUUUUACUUGGAGAGGAAUAUGAAUCAUUCCCAUCGCAAUGUUUUGAUCGUCGGAUUCGGAAAAAAAAAAGACGGAUUGGACUAUUGGAGAUGUCUUAAUUUCUGGGGUGCAACUUUUGGUGGCGAUGGGACCUUUUACUUGGAGAGGAAUACGAAUCCUCCUCGUCGCAACGGAACAACAGGUAUCGCUAGACUAUGUUGUUACCUGAUGAAAGAAGGUUUUAACAUGUGAUUGCUGCUAUUUUCGUACUUCUUUUGAAACUAGAUUAAAUGACGCUUUUUGAGCUUUUUUGGAACUUUUGAACUACAACUACCGAUGCCUUUUGAGUUCUUUUAGAACUUUUGAACUACUCA